AUGUCAUCUCCAACGAGAUUGUUAGGGGGUUAUGUUAUUCUUCUGGUUCUGCUUUUGGUGGGAAUGGCAUCAAUGGGAAGUUGCAGCAGAGUUUUGAAGGAAGUGGAAUUUAAAAGAUCGAUUCAAGGCAUGCUUCCAAGAGGACCAGUGCCUCCUUCGGGACCUUCUCCAUGUCAUAACAAGCUCAGCCCCUACCGGCACACGGAGCAAUCUUAUCAAGAAGAUUAUGUCAUAUGUCCAUAA
rnacentral:lncRNA from 1 species